GCCCGCCUAGCUCAAUCGGAUAGAGCGUCAGACUCUUAUUCCCGUGUUUCAUUGUCGUAGGCGGCAAUCUGAAGGCUGCGAGUUCGACCCUCGCGGUGGGCU